AAACAUGGUCCCGAGGUAGGAGCUGAAAUGUGGAAAUUGAAAGAAUUCGAAAAGUGAAAUCAAUAUUCAGCAUAAGUUAACAUUUAUGUUUUUGAAACUAAAAUUUGAAGGAACUUGGUAGUAUGUUAACUAAAUGUUUUCACACAUAUUGACCAGUUUAUUUGUCAUCAUUUGCCACGUAAUGACGACCAUUGUUGAAGCUGGCCACAGGAAUUCUAAGCUGUCAUUAAUCCUGCAGCUAAAAAUGGAAUCAAUAAUUGUAAUAUCACAGUAAUCUUACAAAAUUUCUUAUCUUGUCUUUCAGAUGCACGUUUUGUAAAUGGUGAAUCUCAAAUUAAUCAAAGAACUUGUCAUUUCACUUCAUUGACUUUCUCUUCCCAUUUUAAUAUUGAUGAUAAAUUGCAAGAACUUACCGGAGAUCUCUUCCUUUUUGUGGUUCCUUUCAAUUGAUUCAUUUGAGUUUAAUCUCUCGCCGCUGUUCCAGACCUUAUCCACUAGUGGAAUAUGCCGAGAGAUGUUGAACUUAUUCCAGGUUAACCCUUCGCCAUCGUGCUAUAGAAGUUGACGGUUAAAGAAGAGCUUGCUUUCGAUCAAUAACAAUAAAUUAGGUAGAUGUAGA